rnacentral:rRNA from 1 species
AUUGAACGCUGGCGGCAGGCUUAACACAUGCAAGUCGAGCGGGGUGAUGGUGCUUGCACUAUCACUUAGCGGCGGACGGGUGAGUAAUGCUUAGGAAUCUGCCUAUUAGUGGGGGACAACAUCUCGAAAGGGAUGCUAAUACCGCAUACGUCCUACGGGAGAAAGCAGGGGAUCACUUGUGACCUUGCGCUAAUAGAUGAGCCUAAGUCGGAUUAGCUAGUUGGUGGGGCAAAGGCCUACCAAGGCGACGAUCUGUAGCGGGUCUGAGAGGAGGAGCCGCCACACUGGGACUGGGACACGGCCCAGACUCCUACGGGAGGCAGCAGUGGGGAAUAUUGGACAAGGGGGGGAACCCUGAUCCAGCCAUGCCGCGUGUGUGAAGAAGGCCUUAUGGUUGUAAAGCACUUUAAGCGAGGAGGAGGCUCUUUUGGUUAAUACCCAAGAUGAGUGGACGUUACUCGCAGAAUAGGCACCGGCUAACUCUGUGCCAGCAGCCGCAGUAA